AUUGAACGCUGGCGGCAGGCCUAACACAUGCAAGUCGAGCGAGCGGCGGACGGGUGAGUAAUGUAUGGGGAUCUGCCCGAUAGAGGGGGAUAACUACUGGAAACGGUGGCUAAUACCGCAUACUAUCGGAUGUACCCAUAUGGGAUUAGCUAGUAGGUGGGGUAAAGGCUCACCUAGGCGACGAUCUCUAGCUGGGCUGAGAGGAUGAACAGCCACACUGUGCAUGAGACACGGUCCAGACUCCUGCGGGAGGCAGCAGUGGGGAAUAUUGCACAAUGGGCUCAAGCCUGGUGCAGCCAUGCCGCAUGUAUGAAGAAGGCCUUCGGGUUGUAAAGUACUUUCAGCGAGGAGGCGUUACUCGCAGAAGAAGCACCGGCUAAGUCCGUGCCAGCAGCCGCGGUAAUUC
rnacentral:rRNA from 1 species